ACGCGCAGACAUAGGGCUUUGAAGCUUAUUUGUUUUUCUGAAGACAAUUCAUUAAAAAACCACUUCAGAAACUCUUCCUCGGGCAGAUGUUGAUUUACCUCUUCACAUGUCUGUUCAUCCUCUUCCAAACACACAACUCUCAAACCCUAUCCCUUCUCCAUUCACGACCUCCUCCCCUGCUCCUCCACCUCACGCCGCCGACCUCCUCCCCUGCUCCUCCACCUCACGCCGACCUCUUCCCCUGCUCCUCCACCUCACGCCGACCUCCUCCCCUGCUCCUCCACCUCACGCACCACCGCUGAGCACCACCGAGCCGAGCACCACCGCAGUCGUUCCCCUUGUAUCUCCACUCAUCCUCCAAUCUAAAGCCACCACCUCCACCACCAGCAUGAUAAUAUUUUCUGGGUUUCAUAAGAAGGACAAGUUUCAAGAAAUCUUUGCCUUUUGAGCCAAAAGAUGAGAGCUUUUUUCUGGGUUUUGUGAAUUGCUUCAGAUUUGAAGUCAUGAAGUAUUAAUUAAAGAUUUUAAAGAGAGACCCAAUUCACAAACCUUUUAAUCUUCAUAUCAGUAUUUGAGCUCCC